GAUGAAGAACGCAGCGAAAUGCGAUAAGUAAUGUGAACUGCAGAAUUCAGUGAAUCAUCGAAUCUUUGAACGCACAUUGCGCCCCCUGGUAUUCCGGGGGGCAUGCCUGUCCGAGCGUCAUUACAACCCUCAAGCUCAGCUUGGUGUUGGGCCCCGCCGCCCCGGCGGGCCCUAAAGUCAGUGGCGGUGCCGUCCGGCUCCGAGCGUAGUAAUUCUUCUCGCUCUGGAGGUCCGGUCGUGUGCUCGCCAGCAACCCCCAAUUUUUUUCAGGUUGACCUCGGAUCAGGUAGGGAUACCCGCUGAACUUAAGCAUAUCAAUAAGCGGAGGA
rnacentral:misc_RNA from 1 species